rnacentral:tRNA from 1 species
GCCGGCUUAGCUCAGUGGCAGAGCGGCAGUUUUGUAAACUGCGGGUCGUGGGUUCAAAUCCCACAGCCGGCU